UACAGAGGGGGCAAGCGUUGUUCGGAAUUACUGGGCGUAAAGGGCGCGUAGGCGGCCUUCUAAGUCGAACGUGAAAUCCCCGGGCUCAACCCGGGAACUGCGUCCGAGACUGAAAGGCUCGAAUCCGGGAGAGGGAUGUGGAAUUCCAGGUGUAGCGGUGAAAUGCGUAGAUAUCUGGAGGAACAUCGGUGGCGAAGGCGGCAUCCUGGACCGGUAUUGACGCUGAGGUGCGAAAGCGUGGGGAGCAAACAGG
rnacentral:rRNA from 1 species